AUGAAUCUUGAUGAAACGGAGUUUGUAGAUAUUGAUGAUGAAAUUAAUGAAAGUGGGAUUGAAAGAAAUAAAAACCUAGAUGUUGCUAAACCCACUAUUUUGGAUCUCAAGGAAUUUGAUUUUGAAAAUUGCUCUUUGAUUGGUUGUAUUUCCUUGUUGCAAUCCGUGCUAGAUUCUCCUCAUGCUUAUAGUCAAAAUAAGGCCUUUACCAAACACAUUGUUGAUGCCUUGAUGCAAUCUUAUGAAGAAAAACUUGAGUUGAAAGUUUCUAUCCCUAGAAAACUCUAUGAUGAGUGGGAACCUACUAUUAAAAUUCAAAUUAAAGAUUAUGAGUUUCAUGCUUUGUGUGAUUUGGGUGCUAGUGUCUGUACUAUUCCCAAAACUUUAUGUGAUUUGCUAGAUUUCCGUCAUUUUGAUGAUUGCUCUCUAAACUUGCAUCUUGCCCAUUCGACUAUUAAAAACCCUAUGGGAAGAAUUAAUGAUGUUCUUAUUGUUUCAAAUAGGAAUUAUGUUCCCGUAUAUUUUAUCGUUCUUGAUAUAGAUUGCAAUCCUUCAUGUCCUAUUAUUCUUGGUAGACCUUUCCUUACAACGAUUGGCGCAAUUAUUGAUAUGAAGGAAGGAAAUAUUAGAUUCCAAUUUCCCUUGAAUAAGGGUAUGGAACACUUCCCUAGAAAUAAAAUAAAAUUACCAUAUGAGUCUAUCAUGAGAGCCACUUAUGGAUUGCCUACCAAAGAUGGCAAUACCUAG
rnacentral:rRNA from 1 species